rnacentral:lncRNA from 1 species
AUGGAAACCCUGAUCGAUAUGGCGAAACGGGCCGCUUAUUUCAAUGAAAUGGAACUCCAGGUUCUCCUGGAGAGCUAUGACGAGGAGAAGGACAUUAUCGCAAGAAAGGGGAACGCUAAAACCUCUGGAACCCGGAGAACCAAAGCCUGGCAGCGGUGUACUCCAAAUUUAGAGUUACAUUUGAACACUUUGAGAGUGCAAAUGUACUCUAUUAGUGGUACUUUUGGGCACUCAUUCAGUGCUUCCUUACACCUGCAGUGUAAACCUAGAACCCCAGAGAGAGAAAAUAUGUACUCCAAGUCAGUGCUUUGUAGCACUUCGCAGAGCUGAUUAUUUAAUACUUCUAGAGUGAGAAUGUACUCUGACUGGUGUACAACCAACACCUUUGAGGUGAAUUAUCAACACUUCAUGAAUGAAUAGUCUACACCAGGGCUAUUCAACCUCCUUAACAAGUGGGCCGAAAAGGAAAACCACUGGGGGUUCAUGGGCCACACAGAGUAAAACUACGUCAAUGAAUCGCUAAAAAUAAAUCGUACUUAAAGUAGUGUUAACUUAAUAUAUAUAGUACUAUUAUAUGGAAUAAACUUGUCAGACGCACUCCUUCCUUCUUCACUUUUAAUCGUAUCAUUAUAAAAGAUUUCGUUCUCACAUAUUUUGGACACGUAUUUAGAAUUCCACAAUGUUGUUGGAAUCAUCACAAAACAACUACUGUACAUAUGAGAAAUUUUGAGCCAGUGAGUCAGUGAGAAAGAUUGCACUGCCUUGUUUGCCUAGUUUGGCUCAUCCUGAGACACUCAUGCAGCUUCUCAUAGGUCAUCGAGCAACGUGCCCUUGUUCUGACGGCAUUGAUAUGAGAAAAGCUAGACUCAUACGUAUCGUUUGAGCCAAACAUUGUCAGAAUAAGUGAUGCCAGUUCCUGAUUGUGGGGUACUGAUACUGGCUAGUAUCACCGCCUACACACAGAAACCUGAUUUGCAUGCAACUAUGUUUCUCCUUUAUUUAUUUUUUUUUUGCAUGCAACCUCUUGCGUGCCAGAAAAAAAUUAGGAGGGGCCGCAUUUGGCCCACGGGCCGCUAGUUGAAUAGGCCUGGUCUACACAUUAGAUUCUUGCUGCUGUUGUUGUUACAGUGCAUACAUAUAUAAUAUAGUUAACAUUAUAGUUAAACUUUAAUUAUUUUACAUCAAGAACCAUUUUUAGUUUUACAUUUAUAUGAUGUAACAAACAACUUGAAAAUAAAUAAAUAAAUGUGUCCCUGUCAACCAAUUAAAGGGGAAUUCCGGUGUAAAACGGAUUUGUGAUAUGUUUUGUAUGAUAAUGAGUUGAAACGUUUGUUUUGGAGCACAAAAAAACGCAUAUAGACGCUUUCUUCAGUUGGCUGUUUUUAGCCGAUUCUAUCAAAAAGCUAUAAACUUGGAACAAUGGGGCAGUGGUUAUGGUAAAAACUAAAUCGCUAUUUUAAACCAUUUAAAAGGCUAGAAGUAGCCCGACACUUCUUUGGUAGUUCAAUAAGGGUAUUAACAUAUAAAACGAGGCAUUGAGAACUUUGUAAGUGUACAGAUUGUUUAUUAAAAAUAAAAUUACAUUUUAUACACACAAUACCAUCAGUAGAUCACCCGUCGACGCCAUUUUGUUUUCAAGACUCGAUAAGUAGAUUGGCAAACACAGAGAUUGUGACAUCCAUCAGCAACACACAAGCCCUGGCGGCAUGCCAUGGGACCUUUAAAAAUAAAAUAAAAAUUAUCAGGAUACAAUUACCCUGUGAAACUUCACUACACGAUCCACAGCUUCCCGGAUACUGAUUUUGACAGCUCCAUUCUUUCCACUUGGAGGUGGUGGCAGGAGGUAGACCAGCAGGAGAAGUGAGGCCAUGUCACUAUCCCUACCUGAAAAGGGAGAGCACAUACUUUGAGCAUGAAAUACACCUGAUGAAAGCACAUGACACAACAUAAAAGGUUCAAAAAGCUCUUGUCAAUAAAUAGUCAGCAUCUAAAAAGGUGGCCAAAUACAAACAGGUUAUUAUCAUAGGACCCUUUUUUAAAAUAAAAUAAAAAAGGGUCCUAUGUUCCCCAGUCUCAUACAAAGAGGGGAACAUAGGACCCGGGGAACAUAGGACCCGGGGAACAUAGGACCCGGGGAACAUAGGACCCGGGGUCCGGGAACAUAGGACCCGGGGAACAUAGGACCCGGGGAACAUAGGACCCGGGGAACAUAGGACCCGGGGAACAUAGGACCCGGGGAACAUAGACACGCUCCCACUAAAUUAAAGCCACGUGCCUCGUUAGCAUUAGCUAAAAAUGGUAACGAGGCGUUAGCUAAAUUGAAGACAUGUGCCUCAUUAGCAUUGGCCAUUAAGUUUGACGUUAGCUAAAAUCGUUAGCAUUUAUAAGUUGGUUAUCAGAUCUAAAAGACGAAGAAAUACUGAAUAUUCUGCAUUCAGGGUUUCUGCAGGUUUGAACAAGUUAAAUUUAAGCCUCUAAUACCUUCUUAAGACCCAUUAUGAAUACAAUUUCUGACCUAUAUGAAGGACAUACGCACAACUAACUAUGAAACAUAGAAACCCUGUGCAUUAUUCACUUGGUACUUUUCUUACCUGUUUACAUUCCCGUGAAGUUCAAAAAUGUCUUCGUUCACUCGGAGCAAUUCCUUGGCGAUAUUGAUUCGAUCCUCUCUAGUCAACCGUCUCUGUCGAAACAGUUUGCCGCGUAGUGUGGAAGAGGACAAACGGUCACAUGUCUCUAGAUUCAACCAAUGAGAAGGCGCAGCGAGCCAAUGACGAAUCGAAACCUAAACCGACGUGCCGCCGGGAUAGUAGGACACUCAACCGUUGUACACUCAGGGAGUCCAUCAUCCUAAAAUAAACACUUAAAUUACUCUACACCAGCAUUAUACUUAGAGACAACACCCAAGAGUGUUUCUGGUACACCCCAAAAAAUGUACUUAGUGCCUAUUCAACACCAAAGUGUAUAAAAUCUACUCUGGUCAUGAAUACUCUGGGAUUUUAACACUUUGCGAUUUGCUGUGCCGUUUUGUGGGUACGCAACGGUUAUAAAUGAGACCCCAGAACAUGGCACCUGGUUACAUACCCAUUUCCUGGUGCUGACUUAUAACCAUCGUUAUGAGUCAGCAAAAAAAGUAAAGUAAAGUCCCUUCAUUACAGGUAACACCUGGC